GGGCUGCCCGUGGCUGGCGUGUGCUCAGCCACUGCUACAACCCUCAUAGUAACUCCAGGAGGGGGGUGCGAGGGUCUAGCUCAAGAGGUGUUUGUUUGGUCAUGUGUUACAGAUACCAAUUUCAUAAUGGCUUGUCACAAAGAGGAAUUUAUUGAAAAGCACAGAGGUGUCUCAUGGGUAGACCCGAAGGGCAGAACCUCACCAGGGCCUGAACUGCACGGGCAGUCGCUUAUUCACUCACCCCAGGCCCCUUCCUCUCCCACCUCAGCCAACAGACCAGACUCAGGAAGGAUGCUCGUUCCCAAACCCAAGUUCCAGGAGAGAUGAUCUGAUUGGCCCAGCUCCAGUCAGGGGUCCACCACGGUCCAAUCAGGACUGGCCAGUAUUUUGCAUGUAUGCUUGAUCUUCAUUCAGUUCAAUUCAGUUCAGUUCAACUCAACUCACAUAGAUUGUAUGUCCUCAGUGUACUGGGCCUCAGGAGGAAAGCAAAGAUGCACAAAACCUGGGUCUCGGUCUCCGCGAGCUUCAAGGGAGUUAGAGAGUGGAAAUCUCAGGUCCCAACCAAUUCUUCUACAAGACGGGCCAUGAUGAACAUUCCGGCAGGGGGUGCCCCCCAUGCUGUCUGGGUGUGCGGGUAUUCAUUUUAAUGUGGAGCAGCAGGAAAAUCCAAAUAGAGGAGAAGAAUUUGUUUUUGUGAUUUUAAAUAACAUUAGUGAUGUUGUUUUCAUUGAGAUCUUGCCUAUUUUUCAUUCUUGCAAGCACAAGCUCCCUGCAUUCCCCCACGCUCCCAGAUGGCUUAAUGCUGAUCUGGUGCCAGUGCUCAGGAAACUGGGCAGAUAUCCGCAGAGAUCCUCAAAGAGGCGGAGACAGACAUCUGGGUCAUCACUCCAUGACCUAACUGUGGCGUCUCCCAGACUGAUCCCAGCAGAGUGGGCAGCAGAUCAAUGCGCGGUACCUUUGGCCUUUUCUCUCACCAGUGGGGAUUCGGGCCAGCUAACAGACUUCUUGCUCUGGGUGCUCAAAAGCUGUUGGAAGGAAUCUGGGUCCCUGCAUGGCUGCCUGGAGCAGAGCAUCGCCCCUUCCACGGACCUCCAUAGGACUGGAGGACUGUGACAUGUGCAAGAAAUGAAGCUGUCCUCAAAUUGCUGGAGCAGUUAGCCCAUCCUGGCCAAGGCAGUCGACAACUUGCAUUUUCCAUUAAAUAUAUCUAUAGAUAGAUAAAUAGAACAUCAUUCAUGUCAAUUCAUAUAAACCUGUCUGAUACUUUUUUUUUUUUGGUGAGGAAGAUUGUCCCUGAGCUAACAUCUGUGCCAGUCUUCCUCUAUUUUGUAUGCGGGACGCCACUACAGCAUGGCUUGAUGAGCAGUGUACAGGUCUGUGCCCAGGAUCCAAACCCAUGAACCCCAGGCUGCUGCAGCGGAAGGUGCGAACUUAACCACUAUGCCGCUGGGCCAGCCCCUAAAUCUGCCU
rnacentral:lncRNA from 1 species